rnacentral:rRNA from 1 species
UACGGAGGUGGCGAGCGUUGUUCGGAAUUACUGGGCUUAAAGCGCGUGUAGGCGGGACGGCAAGUGUCGGGUGAAAGCCCUCGGCUCAACCGAGGAAUGGCCUGGCAAACUGCCGUUCUUGAGGCGGGCAGAGGUGACUAGAACGACGGGUGGAGCGGUGAAAUGCGUAGAUAUCCGUUGGAAUGCCGGCGGCGAAAGCAGGUCACUGGGCCCGUCCUGACGCUGAGGCGCGAAAGCUAGGGGAGCGAACGGG